ACUGUCAACAAAAGUAAAUUUGCAACAUCUUUUUUAGAAGGCCGCAUGGCAUUCCAUAGUAGGGAUGACAAUUUAGACAAUCCCUUAUUGAUGGAUAUUUAGAUCAUUUCCAGUAUUUUGCUGUUAUAAACAACACUGGCCCUCGGCGGGCACCAGGCCAAUGCUUCCCACGUAGUCCUCAGGUAAUCCUCGCAGAACACGUCAAGCACACACUAUUAGUAUCUCAUUUUACAGAAGUGGAAACUGAGGCACAGAGUCGUAAGAUAAGUUAUCUACAAUCACACAACCGUUAAGAGGAGAAGCCAGAAGUCACCUAUAGAAUCUGGAAUCUGUUUGAUUCCAGAGCCUGUUUACUGAUUUUAAAGUCUGAGAAGUAACUCCUUUAGGAUUUUCUAACCUAUAGGUGGAGAAACGUGGACAUCUUGGUGGGGGUGGGGAAAUUCAGCCUACCGAUCCCCAAAAUGUGUUCGAGUCCUUUAUUCAUUCAAGUAGUAAGUGAAACUGAAAAUUUCAGAGGAAGCUCCAUGGCACAAUAAAUAUCAGAAACUAAAUUACAUGUUGAGAUGAGUCCCCCUGGGCACUUGUGAAAUGAUUUAUCCAGCCUCUGGUGACCUGACUCUUCAGCCCCUCACUCACGUGGAGGCUGUAAAAAGGAAGCGAAUGAAGCUUGGGAGAGGAGCUGGGGCCAGGAGCCCCACCCUAUCCCAAGAGUGCUUUUUCUUUUACUUCAGGUCAAGAGAGAGGAAUUUCAAUAGAACACUUGGAGGGCUUCAUCCCUGUCCCUUGCAGUCAGGGGAUACAGUAGUGGGCAGUGUCUGGCUCUCGCUUGGAAAAUCGACAAGAUAAGACCAUCUUAGUGAUUUCACUGACUGCCCCAACAGCAGACGUGAAAGAGAGGUUGUGGCCGCACUGGGAUUGGCCACCUUCUCGAGUUUCUUGGGGAAGGCAUACAUGGACAUUUCCCAUGGAUUAGAUGAGGGCCACAGGGCAAAAGGGCUGGAAUGAGACCAUCCAAGGUCUGUCCAAAAGGCCCCCUUCCCAGGAGAAGGUGAGCUCUUAGCAGCUGGAAGCUGGAAGGGGCAGCUGAUUCCGAAAGGCUAUCGAUAGAGGAAGCAAUGAGACUCAAGAGAUGACAUCACCCACAUUGAGGGCCUAGCACUGGGGGGGUCUCUGAAGAACUCACAAAAGCACCCACAAGAAUCAGCUUUAUGCUUGCAAGCAGAGGACAGUAUAAGGCAGUCCCCAUCAAGUGGAACCUCUCCUGUCCCCUUUUACCUCCCCUACAUUCUCCCUGCCAUCCCCAUCCAAGUGCAGAACAGUCAUAGCAGCUUGCAA
rnacentral:lncRNA from 1 species